rnacentral:rRNA from 1 species
CCUACGGGAGGCAGCAGUGAGGAAUAUUGGUCAAUGGCCGUAAGGCUGAACCAGCCAAGCCGCGUGAAGGACGAAGGUUCUAUGGUUUGUAAACUUCUUUUAUCGGGGAAUAAAGGUAUCCACGUGUGGAUGUUUGCAUGUACCCUAUGAAUAAGCAUCGGCUAACUCCGUGCCAGCAGCCGCGGUAAUACGGAGGAUGCGAGCGUUAUCCGGAUUUAUUGGGUUUAAAGGGUGCGUAGGUUGGUUUUUAAGUCAGCGGUGAAAGGUUGUGGCUCAACCCUCAAAUUGCCGUUGAAACUGGAAGACUUGAGAGUGUUAGAGGUAGGCGGAAUGCGCGGUGUAGCGGUGAAAUGCAUAGAUAUCGCGCAGAACUCCGAUUGCGAAGGCAGCUUACUAAGGCCUAACUGACACUGAAGCACGAAAGCGUGGGGAUCAAACAGGAUUAGAUACCCCUGUAGUC